GGUAUUGAAAUAAGAUUUUAAAUGAGUGCUAAGAGAAUGAUUAAACAAUUAAAAACUUUCUUUAAUUAAAUAAUUAAAUUUAAUUUUUUUUGUGCAAAAGCAAAAAUAAAAUUUAGGGACAAGAAGACCCUAUGAAUUUUUAUUAUUAAUAUUUUGCAAUUAAAUUAUUAAUAAUUUAAUUGGGGUGAUAAAAAAAGAAUAAGUAUCUUUUUAAAUUAUAAAAUAAGUUCCGUUUUUAGCGAUUAAAUGAAAAAAAUACUCUAGGGAUAACAGCGUAAUAAUUUUGGAUAGUUCAUAUAGAUAAAAUAGUUUGCGACCUCGAUGUUGGAUUAGGAUUCUUUUUUGGUGAAGAA
rnacentral:rRNA from 1 species